GGGGCGGAUCCGCCUUCAAGCCGGCACAUCCGCCGUACGCUCUCCCCCGUUUUGGCCACGCUCACCGGAUCCGGUCCGCCUCCACACGGCGCUCUGUCAAACAGACUAACUGCGGACACCGGGCGGAUUCGCACAUCGGACGCGUCUGUUUCAAAAAUUCUUAACCGUUGCUGACCGUUAUUCUCACAGACAGCAGAGCUCUUACAGUGGGAAUCGGCAGCUCUCUCGGAGGACACGGACACGCAUACAGCUCAUUCACAAGUGGCGCCAGUCUGAUUUGGGGACUGCCUGCUUCUCACCCUUUCCUGCCACCGGUGUAAAGUGUUUCUUGUUCUGGAGCUGUGGAGUCUGGAUCUGUGGCUGCGGGUCACCUG